rnacentral:rRNA from 1 species
GAUCCUGGCUCAGGAUAAACGCUGGCGGCGCACAUAAGACAUGCAAGUCGAACGGACUUAACCGUUAGUUUACUAAUGGAGCGGUUAGUGGCGGACUGGUGAGUAACACGUAAGCAACCUGCCUAUCAGAGGGGAACAACAGUUAGAAAUGACUGCUAAUACCGCAUAUGCCUUGAAUAUCACAUGAUAUAAAAGGGAAAGGAGCAAUCCGCUGAUAGAUGGGCUUGCGU